ensembl:lncRNA
CUGUGGGCUGGGGCGGUAGAGCGCAAUACAACUGUAUCAGCAGGGGCUUGUGUGAGGCUCUGCCCUGCAAAUGUUUAUGCUGUAGCAGACAUAUGAGGUACUGCAUGGAUGCUUUCCAAAGCGUGGGAUAGGAAGACAUGGAAAGGCUGUAUUAUCAUUUUUCUGAGUGUUGCAGGUGCAAAGAAUUUGGUAACAAUAUUUGCUCUGGAGCCAAAUUGCUCUCAGACUCCCUCCUAUGUUUAUUCAGUUGAAGAGAAUUACCCAGCAUCUCUGCUUCUCAACGAUCGUCAGGGUAAAUGCUUGGGAUGGAAACUGAGAUGUACUCAGCUGGUGAAAGCUUCUACCAAGCUCUUGGCAUUGACACUCUCCUCCCAUCAGAAAGACAAUACAAAUACAAACAGUUCUGGAUGAGCUGAAACUGAAGUGUGGAGCUUUUCUGGAGCAUAUUAAAAGAAAAGCCUGCUCAGACAUACCGUGGGAACUAAAGAGGCGUACGUGUCCAGCAACAGUUUGCUUCAUAGUGGAGACUGUGCAUGCAGGUCACAUUUCCCUCUGCAGUCAUCUUCUGGAUUGUGUUUAUCUAUGUGUCAGAAGUGAAAACACAGACAUAAGAACAUAAGAACACUUAACGUUUUCUUUUUUUUUUUCAUCUAGAUAAAAAGGGAAUUGAUUGACAUCUCAUAUUUCUGGGGUUUAGUGAGAUCAUAACUGCACUUUAAUUGGUUUAAUUACCAGAAUAUAAUAUUGCAGGUAUGUAAUGUAGACCUGUAAUAUAGUUAUACAAUGUACGAUAUGUGUUAUAUAUAAUAAAAUACAACAGGUCAUAUAACACAGUUUUCGUAAUAGUUAUUAGUAGGACUAUCAGUAGUGAAUAUUCAAUGACAUGAAUAGAAAUUUCCCAUGAGUAAUGUCUUCAGGAUUCAGCUCUUCUUAUCUAAGCUUCUAAGAAGAACAUAUAUAUGAAGAAAACAUAAAGGUUAUGAAAUACGUAAAUAUGGUAUUUGGAGGCUGAGGUUGAAUUUGGCUUCAGUAAGCUGGAGGUCUCAGUUCCUCCGGAAUGCUUAGGCACCUGACUGCCACUUCACAUUUCCACAUUUGCUUCAGAAAUACAUUUUUUCUUUAUAUUUUUCAUGUCUGACUCAGUACUCACAGUGGUUUUCAUAAUCUAUCUGCUGUCUGCCUUUUGGAAAUGGCUAUUAGCAGUUACACAGUGUUUUCCAAACAUAAUUGUUUAGAUCUCUCUGGUGACACAGUUAGCAUCUGGGAGAAACACAGCAGUGUGCAAUUGUGUCUUUAAUUAUCUUUCCAUUGUGAGAAGGGCUGGUACGUGCCAAGGCAUUUAUUAUACCUGACAAGGACAAUGUAUUUACAAUGGGUGUUUAUAUACCAAUUCUUUAUAAAAAUACCUUGACAGAAAGUGCUCCACCUGCCCUCAUGUUCUCUAUUGCAAUUGCUAAUUAAUAUUAUUGUGCUGAAAAUGAUCCUAUCUAUUAAAGCUUCUGUCAUAACUGCUGCUCCCUGCCUAUCUAUGCCUAAUUAACCUGCCACUGACUCAC